rnacentral:tRNA from 1 species
GGUCCGUUCGUCUAGCGGUUAGGACGCUACCUUUUUCGGGUGGAAACAGAGGUUCGAAUCCUCUACGGACUAC